rnacentral:rRNA from 1 species
GGGUUGUGAGGUUAAGCGACUAAGCGUACACGGUGGAUGCCCUGGCAGUCAGAGGCGAUGAAGGGCGUGCUAAUCUGCGAUAAGCGCCGGUAAGGUGAUAUGAACCGUUAUAACCGGCGAUACCCGAAUGGGGAAACCCAGUGUGAUUCGUCACACUAUCAUUAACUGAAUCCAUAGGUUAAUGAGGCGAACCGGGGGAACUGAAACAUCUAAGUACCCCGAGGAAAAGAAAUCAACCGAGAUUCCCCCAGUAGCGGCGAGCGAACGGGGAGGAGCCCAGAGCCUGAAUCAGCAUGUGUGUUAGUGGAAGCGUCUGGAAAGGCGCGCGAUACAGGGUGACAGCCCCGUACACAAAAGCGCAUGUGCUGUGAGCUCGAUGAGUAGGGCGGGACACGUGGUAUCCUGUCUGAAUAUGGGGGGACCAUCCUCCAAGGCUAAAUACUCCUGACUGACCGAUAGUGAACCAGUACCGUGAGGGAAAGGCGAAAAGAACCCCGGCGAGGGGAGUGAAAAAGAACCUGAAACCGUGUACGUACAAGCAGUGGGAGCACAGGUUUACCUGUGUGACUGCGUACCUUUUGUAUAAUGGGUCAGCGACUUAUAUUCUGUAGCAAGGUUAACCGAAUAGGGGAGCCGGAGGGAAACCGAGUCUUAAUUGGGCGUUAAGUUGCAGGGUAUAGACCCGAAACCCGGUGAUCUAGCCAUGGGCAGGUUGAAGGUUGGGUAACACUAACUGGAGGACCGAACCGACUAAUGUUGAAAAAUUAGCGGAUGACCUGUGGCUGGGGGUGAAAGGCCAAUCAAACCGGGAGAUAGCUGGUUCUCCCCGAAAGCUAUUUAGGUAGCGCCUCGUGAAUUCAUCUCCGGGGGUAGAGCACUGUUUCGGCUAGGGGGCCAUCCCGGCUUACCAACCCGAUGCAAACUGCGAAUACCGGAGAAUGUUAUCACGGGAGACACACGGCGGGUGCUAACGUCCGUCGUGAAGAGGGAAACAACCCAGACCGCCAGCUAAGGUCCCAAAGUCAUGGUUAAGUGGGAAACGAUGUGGGAAGGCCCAGACAGCCAGGAUGUUGGCUUAGAAGCAGCCAUCAUUUAAAGAAAGCGUAAUAGCUCACUGGUCGAGUCGGCCUGCGCGGAAGAUGUAACGGGGCUAAACCAUGCACCGAAGCUGCGGCAGCGAACGUAUCACUUAAAGUGAUUCAGCGGGUUACGAUUGACGGAGCGAAGCGACGUCAAAGCGUAUACAAAGUCGAGUCGGUUUAAGGAUACGUUCGUUGGGUAGGGGAGCGUUCUGUAAGCCUGUGAAGGUGGCCUGUGAGGGUUGCUGGAGGUAUCAGAAGUGCGAAUGCUGACAUAAGUAACGAUAAAGCGGGUGAAAAGCCCGCUCGCCGGAAGACCAAGGGUUCCUGUCCAACGUUAAUCGGGGCAGGGUGAGUCGACCCCUAAGGCGAGGCCGAAAGGCGUAGUCGAUGGGAAACGGGUUAAUAUUCCCGUACUUGGUGUUACUGCGAAGGGGGGACGGAGAAGGCUAUGUUGGCCGGGCGACGGUUGUCCCGGUUUAAGCGUGUAGGUGUGUGUUCCAGGUAAAUCCGGUUCACUUUAACACUGAGGCGUGAUGACGAGGCACUACGGUGCUGAAGCAACAAAUGCCCUGCUUCCAGGAAAAGCCUCUAAGCAUCAGGUAACAUCAAAUCGUACCCCAAACCGACACAGGUGGUCAGGUAGAGAAUACCAAGGCGCUUGAGAGAACUCGGGUGAAGGAACUAGGCAAAAUGGUGCCGUAACUUCGGGAGAAGGCACGCUGACACGUAGGUGAAGUGAUUUACUCACGGAGCUGAAGUCAGUCGAAGAUACCAGCUGGCUGCAACUGUUUAUUAAAAACACAGCACUGUGCAAACACGAAAGUGGACGUAUACGGUGUGACGCCUGCCCGGUGCCGGAAGGUUAAUUGAUGGGGUCAGCGCAAGCGAAGCUCCUGAUCGAAGCCCCGGUAAACGGCGGCCGUAACUAUAACGGUCCUAAGGUAGCGAAAUUCCUUGUCGGGUAAGUUCCGACCUGCACGAAUGGCGUAAUGAUGGCCAGGCUGUCUCCACCCGAGACUCAGUGAAAUUGAACUCGCUGUGAAGAUGCAGUGUACCCGCGGCAAGACGGAAAGACCCCGUGAACCUUUACUAUAGCUUGACACUGAACAUUGAGCCUUGAUGUGUAGGAUAGGUGGGAGGCUUUGAAGUGUGGACGCCAGUCUGCAUGGAGCCGACCUUGAAAUACCACCCUUUAAUGUUUGAUGUUCUAACGUGGACCCGUAAUCCGGGUUGCGGACAGUGUCUGGUGGGUAGUUUGACUGGGGCGGUCUCCUCCUAAAGAGUAACGGAGGAGCACGAAGGUUGGCUAAUCCUGGUCGGACAUCAGGAGGUUAGUGCAAUGGCAUAAGCCAGCUUGACUGCGAGCGUGACGGCGCGAGCAGGUGCGAAAGCAGGUCAUAGUGAUCCGGUGGUUCUGAAUGGAAGGGCCAUCGCUCAACGGAUAAAAGGUACUCCGGGGAUAACAGGCUGAUACCGCCCAAGAGUUCAUAUCGACGGCGGUGUUUGGCACCUCGAUGUCGGCUCAUCACAUCCUGGGGCUGAAGUAGGUCCCAAGGGUAUGGCUGUUCGCCAUUUAAAGUGGUACGCGAGCUGGGUUUAGAACGUCGUGAGACAGUUCGGUCCCUAUCUGCCGUGGGCGCUGGAGAACUGAGGGGGGCUGCUCCUAGUACGAGAGGACCGGAGUGGACGCAUCACUGGUGUUCGGGUUGUCAUGCCAAUGGCACUGCCCGGUAGCUAAAUGCGGAAGAGAUAAGUGCUGAAAGCAUCUAAGCACGAAACUUGCCCCGAGAUGAGUUCUCCCUGAGACUUAGAGUCUCCUGAAGGAACGUUGAAGACGACGACGUUGAUAGGCCGGGUGUGUAAGCGCAGCGAUGCGUUGAGCUAACCGGUACUAAUGAACCGUGAGGCUUAACCUUACAACGCCGAAG